UACGUAGGGUGCGAGCGUUAAUCGGAAUUACUGGGCGUAAAGCGUGCGCAGGCGGUUUUGCAAGCCGGAUGUGAAAUCCCCGGGCUCAACCUGGGAAUGGCAUUCGGGACUGCAAGGCUGGAGUGCGGCAGAGGAGACUGGAAUUCCUGGUGUAGCAGUGAAAUGCGCAGAUAUCAGGAGGAACACCGAUGGCGAAGGCAGGUCUCUGGGCCACUACUGACGCUGAGAAGCGAAAGCAUGGGGAGCGAACAGG
rnacentral:rRNA from 1 species